AAUGGGAGCUGAGCGACCAUCGCCUUCCUCAUUCAUCUCAUCCAUAAGUUUUUUCAGCUUCUGUCGUUGCACUUCUGCAGCCGUCUGAGGACGGUUACCAACUAAGGGGCUACUGGAAUCUGAUUUUGCAACAACCUUGCCUUUCAUAGAACCUUCCCCAUUUAGAUUACUAGAUUUGCCUGCCACUUCUGAUGUGGGUUUUGAUUUUUUUGAUUUGAUAAACUUAGGGUUUCCAUCUUUAGAUAUUUCUGUGGAAGAGUUUCCACUUUGUGCAGGAGGCACUGCAUUCAAUAAUGCAACUCCUACAUGGGCCUGCUUCAAAGCUCCAACAUCAUUGGUUCCAUCCCCACACAUCAAUGUUAUCCUUCCCACUGUUUUGAAAGUAGUCAUAAUUAGUUCCUUUUGCUCAGGAGCAACUCUUGCAAAGACCUUGACAUGAGGAAUGACUCGAAGAACAGCAGAACUCUGCUGCAACAUCUCAAUGCAGUCACCUCCAAUGCAGAGAUCAUGAGUUUCUGAUAAAGCUCCAACCUCUUUAUCAUUGUAAUGGAUUUUCUCUGCCUCAUCUGGUGAUAUCCAUUCAUAUCCUUCAGGAUGCCUGGCUCGACCAAGAAUUAAUGCUGGUUUUGAUAUGAUAUGCACUUGGCCAGCAACAUGGCAGGCUGUCAAAGCCUGGUCACCCGUGAUCAUCACCAAGUCAUGUGAUGAAUUCUUUAAUUCAGAUAAAAUUGCGGCUGAAUCUGCUCUUAUAGGACAAUUAAAUACCGCAAAACCAGCAAAAGUAAGGCCACUUUCUACUACAUCUCUAUCCAAGCUUCUAGCCUCACUAACUGUCAUGUCCGGAAGGGACUUGAAAGCAAGGGCCAGAACCCGAGAACCUUGGCGUGUAUAUUUCUUAUAAGUAUCAACAUAAGAUUGUGGCAAAUCAAUAAGUCUAUCCUGAAUAGUUUCUGGUGCCCCCUUCACAAAAGCAAGAAAUUCAUCCUGUAUGCGAACAACAACUGCCAUUCGUUUUAAAUGGGAUGCAAAAUGAUGCCUUUGGACAAUCUGCACAGCAUUGCCACCUCCCCUUUUUGGCAUGGCCUUCUCAUCAGAUUUGUAACUCCAGUCUAUCCCUUUAAGUGCAGCCUUCUCAAGAGGAUCACCAACCAGUUUGUUGUCCACAAACACUAACGCAUGACAAGAAGCCAAAAUUUCCACAGUUCGAACGGGCACUUUAGUCAUAUCAGAUUCUAAAUUCAUUCCGUCAUUCAACCCUACAACUCCACAGAACUCCAUGUCAUCUGAAGUAAGCGUUCCAGUUUUAUCAAAACAACAUAUGUCAACUUUCCCAGCAAACGGAAUACGAAAGGGUUCAGUACAAAAUAUUCCACGUCGUGCCAAUGCAAUAAGAGAUGUAUUGACUGCUAUUGAUAAUUCCAUGGGCAACUCAGGUGGGAUCACAGAAGUUAUAAUAAGCGAACAACUUAGGAAAAGUUUGUAUUUGCUCCUUGUGGGAUCUUCCAGUCCCUUUUUAAGUACAUAACCAGCAGCAAUAACUGCAAAGACAACUAAAAAUAGAAUGAAGAGUCCACUUUCCCAGCUAUUGGCAGUAACCCUAUCUGUGGAAAAUAAAAUUGUCCUCAUCAGUUUCCCCUGGCUUGUUUCAAACCCAGUACGUAGAACAACAGCCACACAGCCACCAUCAGGCGUUCUCAAAGGAAAGGUCUUAUCUGGGGUAUGUUGCAAUAUUUUAGUCCCACCAAAUAAAACAUGGCUUUUAUCCCGCUUAAUUGAUAACUUCUCCUCAGUUCCUCUACCCAUGAUAGAAACCUUCCAUUGUGGAGUAGACUCGCCUGUGAGAAUAGCUUCAUUUACAAUGGCACUUCCGGCUAAUAAAAGCAUGUCUGCAGGCACUGACUUAUCUUCUCCACUCGGACCAGAGGAGCGCCCAAUGGACACAACAUCGCCAGGCAAAAGAUCAGUCCCAGGAAGUUUCACCCACUUCCCACAGCGAUGGACCAUAAGGAUCUGGCUA
rnacentral:misc_RNA from 1 species